GAGAGAGAGAGAGAGAGAGAGAGAGAGAGAGAGAGAGAGAGAGAGAGAGAGAGAGAGAGAGAGAGAGCGAAUGCGUAAUUAAUUGUUUUUUUUAUAAUGGCAUAACUCUUUAAUAUUUAUUACUAUUAUAACAUAUUAGCUAAGUUAUUCCUUUAAUUAAUGACGAUGUUAAGCUUUAUAAUGAUCAAUGGAAAAGGAAAAAAAAGAAAAAAUAUAAACGAAAGCUCAGGGCAAUUCUUAAAGGAACGGCAAGAGAUUUGAAAAUAGAAAUAGAAAUAUAAAUAAAUAAAUAAACUACAAAUAAUGAAUAAUGAAAUAAAGAAAAUAAUAAUGAAGAAAAUGAUGAAAAAGGCAAGAGAAAUAUAUAUUAUCGUUGUCUGUCUAUAUGUAUGUCACUGAAAAUAAAGAAAAUUGUAACAUGGAAAAGAUAUUAUCAAUAGAAAACGUAAAACAAGAUCAAACAUUUAAUAAACUUCGUAACAUAACAAA